GCUCCGGUGGUCUACUGGUUAGAGCGUCCGGCUAGGAUGCGUGAGGUCGUGGGUUUGAGACCCGUCUGAGUCA